rnacentral:rRNA from 1 species
UACGAAGGGGCUAGCGUUGUUCGGAAUCACUGGGCGUAAAGCGCACGUAGGCGGAUUGUUAAGUCAGGGGUGAAAUCCUGGAGCUCAACUCCAGAACUGCCUUUGAUACUGGCGAUCUCGAGUCCGGGAGAGGUGAGUGGAACUGCGAGUGUAGAGGUGAAAUUCGUAGAUAUUCGCAAGAACACCAGUGGCGAAGGCGGACUCACUGGCCCGGUACUGACGCUGAGGUGCGAAAGCGUGGGGAGCAAACAGGG